rnacentral:snoRNA from 1 species
AUCUCAUGAUUUGGACACUUCCUGAUUAGCUCAUUGAACCUGUUCCAUGCCUUGUGAUAGCUCUCCUUAUCUCCCUGUUAGAAGGUUUAAAUUUCCAAUCUGAUUUU